AGUUGUUGCGGUUAAAAAGCUCGUAGUUGGAUCUGCGUCCUUGGUUGGCGGUCCCCUAACGGGAGGUACUGCUAUACCAGGACUAAUUUCUCUGGUUUACCCUUGGUGCUCUUUACUGAGUGUCUUGGGUGGCUGGAACGUUUACUUUGAAAAAAUUAGAGUGCUCAAAGCAGGCGGUCAGCCUGAAUAGUGGUGCAUGGAAUAAUGGAAUAGGACUUCGGUUCUAUUUUGUUGGUUUAAGGGAUCGAAGUAAUGAUUAAGAGGGACAGACGGGGGCAUUCGUAUUGCGCCGUUAGAGGUGAAAUUCUUGGAUCGGCGCAAGACGAACUACUGCGAAAGCAUUUGCCAAGAAUGUUUUCAUUAAUCAAGAACGAAAGUUAGAGGUUCGAAGGCGAUCAGAUACCGCCCUAGUUCUAACCGUAAACGAUGCCAGCUAGCGAUCCGCAGGAGUUAGACAUAUGACUCUGCGGGCAGCUUCCGGGAAACCAAAGCUUUUAGGUUCCGGGGGAAGUAUGGUUGCAAAUCUGAAACUUAAAGGAAUUGACGGAAGGGCACCACCAGGAGUGGAGCCUGCGGCUUAAUUUGACUCAACGCGGGGAAACUCACCCGGCCCGGACACCGUUAGGAUUGACAGAUUGAUAGCUCUUUCUUGAUUCGGUGGGUGGUGGUGCAUGGCCGUUCUUAGUUGGGGGAGCGAUUUGUCUGGUUAAUUCCGAUAACGAACGAGACUCUAGCCUACUAAACUAGGCAAUGAAUUUGGUUGUUCAUUGAACUUCUUAGAGGGACAGAGGGUAU
rnacentral:rRNA from 1 species